AAUGGCUGAUAUCGUUUAGUAAUUGACUAUGUGUAGGCACUUGGAAGGUACCACUGGGUAAACUGGAAAUUACCUGGGGACAUUCCUGCAUCAUUUGCGGGUAGCUAAACCCAAUGAAAUGUAUGUUAUAUUAGAAUAUUUCAGACGGGUUUCAUCUACAAACAGCACAAGUUCAAAGCUUGAAAAUCUAUCAUUUCACUAUCUACUAGAGGUUAAAAAACAUCAAGUUAAAUUUCAGAAUAUAUCAGCCUGCAGUGAUGAUGCCCUCAGAGAAGUGGAUCUAUUUUUAAAGCAGGAGAGAACCUUCCAGAAGAGAAUCAUUGUGUAGUCUAUUUUCUAAUGCAUACAAUCUGUGGCACCCAUUUAGAAAUGUUAAAAAUAGCACUUCAGCACAUCAUCUGUGACCUUCUGCACUUAUUCAAAUGUGACGGAGGCAAAGUAGAUGCGGCCUGCAAAAGAAAAGGCAAAACUCCCAGCCUCUGUUUCAGAGAAGACAUCUCCGUCCAUCGUUUGGGGCUGAAUAAGCUACCUUCCUGGAUCACUUUUCUGAACAGCCGUGCCUUGGAAGGGGGCCUGAGCUGGACACCAGGGGACCUGGUGCUUUCACAGCCCUGCUGAGGAUUAGCUGUCUGACCUUGGAAAAGUCCUUUAAUCUCUUGGGGCUUCAGUUUCCUCUCCACUUAAUCUCUGAGGAACUUUCCAGUUCAAAAAUUAUUCUAUGACAGCAUUAUGCUUAAAGGAAAAGCAUUCUUGUGGACUUCCAACACAGUCUAUACCAAAACUGAUAUAUAAUAAUGUACACCUGAAAUUACACAAUGUUAUAAACCAAUAUGACCUCAACAAAAUAAAAAAUAAAAUAAAAUUAUAACAAAAAAAUUACUUAAAUACAC
rnacentral:lncRNA from 1 species